GACGAACGCUGGCGGCGUGCCUAAUACAUGCAAGUUGAGCGCUGACGGUUGGUACUUGUACCAACUGGAUGAGCAGCUAACGGGUGAGUAACGCGUGGGGAAUCUUCCUUUGAGCGGGGGACAACAUCUGGAAACGAAUGCUAAUACCGCAUCAUACCUUUAAACACAAGUAUUAAGUUUGAAAGAUGCAAUUGCAUCACUCAAAGAUGAUCCCGCGUUGUAUUAGCUAGUUGGUGAGGUAAAGGCUCACCAAGGCGAUGAUACAUAGCCGACCUGAGAGGGUGAUCGGCCCAAUUGGGACUGAGACACGGCCCAAACCCCUUACGGGAGCAGCAGUAGGGAAAUUUCGGAAAUGGACGGAAGGCUGACCGAGGAAAGCCGCGUGAGUGAAGAAGGUUCUCGGAUUGUAAAACUCUGUUGGUAGAGAAGAACGUUGGUGAGAGUGGAAAGCUCAUCAAGUGACGGUAACUACCCAGAAAGGGACGGCUAACUACGUG
rnacentral:rRNA from 1 species